rfam:Streptomyces sp. IB2014 011-1 STIB_2, whole genome shotgun sequence.
UCCUUGCUACGGUGGAAACACCCCGACGAGACGCGCCGUACCGGGCAGGCAAAGACGACGCAUC